GACGAACGCUGGCGGCGUGCUUAACACAUGCAAGUCGAACGAAGUGGCGAACGGGUGAGUAACGCGUAAUCAACCUGCCCUUCAGAGGGGGACAACAGUGGGAAACGACUGCUAAUACCGCAUACUGAAGGAGGGGAUUGGGUCUGAGUAGCUAUUGGGUGGGGUAAAGGCCUACCAAGGCGACGAUCAGUAGCGGGUUUGAGAGGAUGAUCGGCCACACGGGGACUGAAAAACGGCCCAGACUCCUACGGGAGGCAGCAGUGGGGAAUUUUGGACAAUGGGCGCAAGCCUGAUCCAGCAAUGCCGCGUGUCUGAAGAAGGCCUUCGGGUUGUAAAGGACUUUUGUCAGGGAAGCGGUACCUGAAGAAUAAGCACCGGCUAACUACGUGCCAGCAGCCGCGGUAAUAC
rnacentral:rRNA from 1 species